rnacentral:rRNA from 1 species
GACGUAGGGUCCGAGCGUUGUCCGGAAUUACUGGGCGUAAAGCGCGCGCAGGCGGCCCGCGAGGUGUCACGUGAAAGCCCCGGGCUCAACCCGGGAGGGUCGUGGGCAAACCGGCGGGCUUGAGGCCGGUAGAGGUGGGUGGGAAUUCCUGGUGUAGCGGUGAAAUGCGCAGAUAUCAGGAGGAACACCGGUGGCGAAGGCGGGUCUCUGGGCAACAACUGACGCUGAGGAGCGAAAGCGUGGGGAGCGAACAGGA